GUCUACGGCCAAACCACCCUGAACACGCCCGAUCUCAUCUGACCUCAGAAGCUAAGCAGGGUUGGGCCUGGUUAGCACUUGGAUGGGAGACAGUAAUAAGACAUGUUAUGCAGAGG
rnacentral:rRNA from 1 species